rnacentral:rRNA from 1 species
AGCGAACGCUGGCGGCAGGCCUAACACAUGCAAGUCGAGCGCCCCGCAAGGGGAGCGGCAGACGGGAGAGUAACACGUGGGAACGUACCCUUCAGUUCGGAACAACCCAGGGAAACUUGGGCUAAUACCGGAUACGUCCGUAAGGAGAAAGAUUUAUCGCUGAAGGAUCGGCCCGCGUCUGAUUAGCUAGUUGGUGGGGUAACGGCCCACCAAGGCGACGAUCAGUAGCUGGUCUGAGAGGAUGAUCAGCCUCACUGGGACUGAGACACGGCCCAGACUCCUACGGGAGGCAGCAGUGGGGAAUAUUGGACAAUGGGCGCAAGCCUGAUCCAGCCAUGCCGCGUGGAUGAUGAAGGCCCUAGGGUUGUAAAGUCCUUUCGGCGGGGAAGAUAAUGACGGUACCCGCAGAAGAAGCCCCGGCUAACUUCGUGCCAGCAGCCGCCGUAACAC